UACGGGGGGGGUAAGCGUUGUUCGGAUUUACUGGGCGUAAAGGGCGCGUAGGCGGUAGCACAAGUCAGUUGUGAAAUCUCCGGGCUUAACUCGGAAAGGUCAACUGAUACUGUGCGACUAGAGUGCAGAAGGGGCAACUGGAAUUCUCGGUGUAGCGGUGAAAUGCGUAGAUAUCGAGAGGAACACCUGCGGCGAAGGCGGGUUGCUGGGCUGACACUGACGCUGAGGCGCGAAAGCCAGGGGAGCGAACGGG
rnacentral:rRNA from 1 species